GUUCAACGUGACGUUUAAUUUUUGAUCGCUUCAUGCCGAAUAGUAUUUUUUUUUUUCCCGUGAAAAACAUUCGUUAAUUUUAAAAAACGAAACUGCAUAAAAUGUCGUCGAGCGAUAUAAGUAUGCUUGUCGAUAUGGGUUUUAGCUUGCCUAAAGCAGAAAAAGCCUUAGAGGUCACUGGAAACAAUGGUGUUGUUCCGGCAAUGGAAUGGCUCUUGGCUCAUUCGGAUGAAGCAGAACCAUCGCCUAAACAACCUACUGCCGAAAGUGCAGCAACGUUAAUUGCUCAAACACCAGCCGAAGAUAGUAGUGCUAGUGCCAGUGGUCAAGUAUCGACUACAGAAAUUGCCAAGUCUAUGAAAUGCGACGUAUGUGGAAAGCUGUUCAAAACUAACUUGGAAGUUGAAUUCCAUGCAACAAAGUCUGGGCACGAUAGAUUCUCAGAGAGUACAGAGGAAAAGAAACCACUUUCAAAAGAGGAGAAGAUAGAACAAUUACGAACAUUAACAGAGAAGUUAAAACAAAAAAACAAAGAGCGGGAAGAACAAGAAAAAAUAGAUAUAUUCGCGAGGGAAAGGGAUAGGAUAAGGGUAGGAAAAGAAAUGGCUCAAGCUAAAAGAAAAUGGGAAGAGUUAGAAACAAGAAAGGUAAUGGAACAAAGAAGGCAAGAGAAAGAGGACGAGAAAUUAGCGCGACAAAGGGUGAAAGCACAAAUCGAAGCCGACAAAGCCGCGAGACGUGCAAAAGCUAAUAACCAAGAGGUACCCAAGGAAAUUCCUCCUGUGCCUUCAUCGUCUACGACGCACCAUAGGAAAGACUACAGUGAAACGAAGCUACAAAUUAGACUUACUAAUGGACAAACGUUAACGCAAAGUUUCGGAAGUAAAGAACAAUUAUCUGCCGUGAGAUUGUUUGUUGAAAUGAAUAGGACAGACGAUGAUUCGGGUCCAUUCUGUUUAAUGACAAACUUCCCAAAGAAAAUUUUUACAGAAGAUGAUUAUGACACACCAUUAGAUGUUUUAGGUAUGGUAUAGAUUAUGUCGAUCGGUAUACAUUUCGUUCGAACGAUCUGAGUCGGCUAUUAUUAUCUGGAGCAAUAUCUGGAACAAAGUCCACUCGUCUGUAUAAUCUGACCGCUUAUUUACAGGCCUAGUACCAUCCUCGGUUAUAAUUAUUAAGAAGAAAGUACAGCAAUACACAUAAACAUCAAUUAUUACUUGCCAUGCAAUCGGUAAUAUAAGUUGUAAGCUAAUAUAUCAGUGUACAAUGUCCUACAAAUUGUUUAUCAAGGAGGCAGCAUUUUU